rnacentral:rRNA from 1 species
CACCUCUAGCAUUAACAGUAUUAGAGGCACUGCCUGCCCAGUGACAUAUGUUCAACGGCCGCGGUAUCCUGACCGUGCAAAGGUAGCAUAAUCAUUUGUUCUCUAAUUAAGGACUUGCAUGAAUGGCUUGACGAGGGUUUAACUGUCUCUUACUCUUAAUCAGUGAAAUUGACCUCCCCGUGAAGAGGCGGGGAUAAAUAAAUAAGACGAGAAGACCCUAUGGAGCUUAAAUUUACUAAUCUAAGCACUCUAACACCAACUUUCCUCGGAAAUUAAAAUCUCGCCUAUAGGUUACAAAUUUCGGUUGGGGUGACCUCGGAGUACAAAACAACCUCCGAAUGAUUUUAGUUCAGACAUUACAUGUCGAAACUUACAUUCAUCAAUUGACCCAAUUUUAUUGAUCAACGGAACAAGUUACCCUAGGGAUAACAGCGCAAUCCUACUCAAGAGUCCAUAUCGACAGUAGGGUUUACGACCUCGAUGUUGGAUCAGGACAUCCAAAUGGUGUAACCGCUAUUAAUGGUUCGUUUGUUCAACGAUUAAAGUCCU